GAUGAACGCUGGCGGCGUGCCUAAUACAUGCAAGUCGAGCGAACGGACGAGAAGCUUGCUUCUCUGAUGUUAGCGGCGGACGGGUGAGUAACACGUGGAUAACCUACCUAUAAGACUGGGAUAACUUCGGGAAACCGGAGCUAAUACCGGAUGAUAUUUUGAACCGCAUGGUUCAAAAGUGAAAGACGGUCUUGCUGUCACUUAUAGAUGGAUCCGCGCUGCAUUAGCUAGUUGGUAAGGUAACGGCUUACCAAGGCAACGAUGCAUAGCCGACCUGAGAGGGUGAUCGGCCACACUGGAACUGAGACACGGUCCAGACUCCUACGGGAGGCAGCAGUAGGGAAUCUUCCGCAAUGAGCGAAAGCCUGACGGAGCAACGCCGCGUGAGUGAUGAAGGUCUUCGGAUCGUAAAACUCUGUUAUUAGGGAAGAACAUAUGUGUAAGUAGCUGUGCACAUCUUGACGGUACCUAAUCAGAAAGCCACGGCUAACUACGUG
rnacentral:rRNA from 1 species